rnacentral:rRNA from 1 species
UACGUAGGGGGCGAGCGUUGUCCGGAUUUAUUGGGCGUAAAACGCUUGUAGGCGGCCACAUCGCGUCGGACGUGAAAUCUCCCGGCUCAACUGGGAGGGGUCGUGCGAUACGGAUGGGCUCGAGGCCGGUAGGGGGACGCGGAAUUCCCGGUGUAGUGGUGGAAUGCGUAGAUAUCGGGAGGAACACCAGUGGCGCAGGCGGCGUCCUGGACCGGCACUGACGCUGAGGAGCGAAAGCGUGGGGAGCGAUCCGGAUUAGAUACCCGGGUAGUCCACGCCGUAAACGGUGCGCACUAGGUGUCGGGGGUAUCGACCCCUCCGGUGCCGCAGCUAACGCAUUAAGUGCGCUGCCUGGGGAGUACGGCCGCAAGGCUAAA